rnacentral:tRNA from 1 species
CAUUAGAUGGCUGAAAGUAAGCAAUGGAAUUUUAAACCAUAAAAUGAUAAUUUAACAACUAUCUCUAAUG